UACGAAGGUGGCAAGCGUUGUUCGGAUUUACUGGGCGUACAGGGAGCGUAGGCGGUUGGAUAAGCCCUCCGUGAAAUCUCCAGGCUUAACCUGGAAAGUGCAGAGGGGACUGUUCAGCUAGAGGAUGGGAGAGGAGCGGCGGAAUUCCCGGUGUAGCGGUGAAAUGCGUAGGAGAGUCGGGAGGAAGGCCGGUGGCGAAGGCGGCGCUCUGGAACAUUUCUGACGCUGAGGCUCGGAAAGGCGAU
rnacentral:rRNA from 1 species